rnacentral:rRNA from 1 species
AACGAACGCUGGCGGCAGGCUUAACACAUGCAAGUCGAGCGCCUCGCAAGAGGAGCGGCAGACGGGUGAGUACCGCGUGGGAACGUACCCUUAUCUUCGGAAUAGCCCUGGGAAACUGGAAGUAAUACCGAAUGUGCCCUUAGGGGGAAAGAUUUAUCGGAUAAGGAUCGGCCCGCGUUGGAUUAGCUAGUUGGUGGGGUAAAGGCCUACCAAGGCGACGAUCCAUAGCUGGUCUGAGAGGAUGAUCAGCCACAUUGGGACUGAGACACGGCCCAAACUCCUACGGGAGGCAGCAGUGGGGAAUAUUGGACAAUGGGCGCAAGCCUGAUCCAGCCAUGCCGCGUGAGUGAUGAAGGCCUUAGGGUUGUAAAGCUCUUUCACCGGAGAAGAUAAUGACGGUAUCCGGAGAAGAAGCCCCGGCUAACUUCGUG